ACUUUCAGCAGUGAGGAAGGUGGGUAUGUUAAUAGCAUACUCAUUUGACGUUAGCUGCAGAAGAAGCACCGGCUAACUCCGUGCCAGCAGCCGCGGUAAUACGGAGGGUGCGAGCGUUAAUCGGAAUUACUGGGCGUAAAGCGCAUGCAGGUGGUUUGUUAAGUCAGAUGUGAAAGCCCGGGGCUCAACCUCGGAAUUGCAUUUGAAACUGGCAAACUAGAGUACUGUAGAGGGGGUAGAAUUUCAGGUGUAGCGGUGAAAUGCGUAGAGAUCUGAAGGAAUACCGGUGGCGAAGGCGGCCCCCUGGACAGAUACUGACACUCAGAUGCGAAAGCGUGGGGAGCAAACAGGAUUAGAUACCCUGGUAG
rnacentral:rRNA from 1 species